GUAUUAUAGCUCCACAUAUACUAAAAUUGGAAUGAUACAGAGAAGAUUAGCAUGGCUCCUGCACAAUAGUAAUGGUGAAUAUUAUUUUUAUGUUAUGUUUAAUAUUUUU